GUUAAAAGACAUUUUAUUAGAUACAACUUUUAAAAAAUUAAACUAUGCAAGAAGUAUAUUUAAACAAAACAUGUAAGUAAGUAUUCACGUGCUACAACUUAACUAAGAACAAUUAAAUACAAAGCAUUCUUUCCACUAUGAAGACUCUGGAGCCUCUAAUUGAAAGCAAAUGACCUUAGGUCUAUACUAGUUGUAAAGCAGAUUAUACUUUUGUUCAACUCUAAAUUUGUAUUGUCUUAGAGCUCCAACAACUCUCAAUAAAAAUUUAAAUAAAGAAACCUUGGGGGAGGGGUGAUAGGGAAGGGGAGAGUAAGUGCUUUUUCAAAAAGGUAAAUGAAAAAGCCUGAAGAGGGAAAAAAUUGUACAUAAGUAUGGAACAAAAAUAAGUAUACUUUUUUGACAUUCGAUGUAGAUACUGCAAAUGAAUUUACACGGGUUUAAUCAAUGUAAGAUAGAUAUUUGUCUGAAUAUUUUAAAAAGCACCUAGGUAUCAAAAAAUAAAAACAAAAAAUAUAAUGAAACUCCAAACAUCCAACAAUCUCCCUUAACAUUCUCAUUCUGCCAAGCAACCACACGUUGGUGCUUAUUACACAAUUUAAGAAGGGGAAGUUUAUUUACUCUAUAGGAAACAAAUAUGAACCUUAUCUAAGGUAAGCUUCAUUUAGAUUGAAAAAAAAGUUGAAAUAGCACUAGAGAACUUAAGGCACAUAAACAAAUUCAGGUGCAGUUAUUUUGAAACCAUUAAAACAAAUUCUUUUCUUUGGAACAAUAUAUAAAAUAAGUUAUGAAUGUUGCUGUUUUUAUCAGCACUAGGAAAAUUUAAUAUCUAAGGCAAUCACACAAAUGUAAAAUGUUCAUAUAAAACAUUAAAAAAUGUCUAAAGUGUCUCUGGAAUUAUUCAUUCACACUCCUGGCUCAAAUGGUUUCUGGUGCCUAGCAUUAGAUGUGGGCGGAUCACGUGGUCAGGAGUGAUCCGUCUCUACUAAACCCCGUCUCUACUAAAAAUACAAAAAAAUUAGCCGGGUGUGGUGGCACGCACCUGUGGUCUCAGCUACUCGGGAGGCUGAGGCAGAAUCCCUUGAACCCGGGAGGUGGAGGUUGCAGUCAGCUGAGAUCGCGCCACUGCACUCCAGCCUGGGCGACAGAGCAAGACCCCGUUCUCCCCCCUUCCCCAAAAAAAAAAAAAAACGAAAAAAAUACAGUUUGAAGUAGAUGUCGUCUUUUCCACAUAUAAAUCUCAAGACAUAAAAGGCACACACAAUUCAACUCCUCUCUUUUCAUAUAUGGGUUCUCACAGCAAUUUAAAAAAUCUAUUGCCAUAUCCAGACAACAGGAGAAAAAAAAAAUACCUGGUUUGCUUAUUGACAAAAGUGGUGUAAUUGAACCUUUGUCUUUCCUGAGUUUCAAAAAGGCUAUUUGACAGUAGAGAUACAUAAACAAUUCAUAUUCAGUAAGAUAAAAUGUAUCAGUCCACAAAACAUUUUCAUCUUUUUAAGUAUAAAAGAAUCAAUGUUCAACCACCACCAUGUGUGAAGCCCCUUUUUCCAAAUUAAACUUACUCUAGAAUCAUGAAUUGAAGAUUAUUCAGUCAUGGCACUUUACACCCCAAACGAGCAAAAGUAACAAGUUAAUACCCUCCCUGAGUAUUUACAUCAUCUUAUCACCUGGUUUAAAUGGAGUAAAUACCUAUAUUUCAAUCAUCUAGGAAAUAAAAAGGUUACUGAAGAUCCAAUACACUAGUAUUUCAUACCUGUGCAGUAAAGUCAGUGGGAAGAUUACAGUAGAAAAGGAGGAAGUUCUACUGUUGUAAAAAUUAGACCACUUUUGUAGCUGACUCACAUAGAGGAAAAACAGAAAAUGAUUAAAGUUCAUGAAAAAAAAACUAUACUUUUCUGUUCUACAAAGCAUACCUUUGAAUUCCCUUUCCAACUGAGGUAUCACAGCUGGGUUUAGCAAACUCAUCUCUUCUGACCUUGUAAAACUAAAUUGUCAUAAAGAUUCUGAUUAUACAUAAGUCAUCGUUACUAAUACUCAUCAUGUACUUUCAAAUGUAAAAAGUUCUAGAAAUGCCCAAAUAAAAAAAAAUUCCAGAAUUGAAUUUAGCAUGGUCAACUAAUUUUUACUUUAUGUGCUUUUUUGCUGAUCAUCACAGACUGCUAAAAUUCAUGGUGUUUGGUAUAUAUGUGUGUAUACAACCAUACUAUCUACAUACAUACACAUGUACAUAUAUAGAUUCUAAACCAAAGGUUCAUAUGAGCAUCACCUAUCAAAAGAAAAAUCUUUAUGUGAUGAGAGAAUGAAUACAAUCUGACACCAAUUUGGUUGAUAUACCCCUUUUGAUAUAUUAAUUCUACUCUAAAAUUCUUUUUUAUUUUAUCAAGUCUAAUGCUAUUAUUUAUCAAGAAUUAGUAAAGGAAGAUAAAUAUUAAAAAAUUAAAAUAUUAAGUUGGGUAACUUUAAAAAUAGUUAUUUAAAUUUUCUAAGAUUCAACCUAAGUUCUUGGUGGCCUUCAAUAUAAAUUUUAAGUACUUAAUUUAUGUAGUUUUAAAUUAUGUAGAGAAAAAAUUAAUAUUGGUGUGAGGUCUGUGUUUAAAAAAAUUCUGUUUUUCAGGAUUUCAUUUCAAAUUUACUAUAAUAAACACAUGGAUAUUAAAAUAAAUGUAUAACAAAAUAAAAGUAAAUAGUUAAUACUUUUUACAACAGAAAAAUACUAGAAUAUAAAGUUGUCUUGAGAAAGUCUUUUUUUAUGUGAAGUCCUAUAUUCAUGAAAUGGACAUGAUCUUACAAAUACACAUGAAAAUAACAACUAUCAUUUGUAGAAUCCUCAGCAUUUACAAAAUACUUUUUCACACAUUAUCUCAUUUACUGUAAAGAAUUUCUUAACUAAAUAAUUCUAUUAUCUAUAAGAGUAUAAUGCAGAUGUUUACUCUAAAAUUAAAGUACAAGUAUCCAAACUGUACCUACAUUCUUUCAACUAAGAGGAUAGAAAAUUGUUUUCUGAAUUGUUGUUAUCACAAAAUGGUAUCUAUCAUUUUAAAAUUAUGAUUUGAAAAAUAAAAAUUCCCUAAAAAUUUUUAAGUUUUUUAGAGUUUUCCUCAGAAUGUAGAUUCUAGCUAAGCAUUAAAGUUUAAAAAAUGUCUAUCUGAAAUCUCUGAAUCAUUCUAAAAUGAGAAAACAAUGUAGCUUACCAAUGUUAGGCUUUUUAUUUCAACCUUGGUUUUAACAGAAAUCUGGUGACACUUUAAUUACAUAU
rnacentral:lncRNA from 1 species